AUUGAACGCUAGCGGCAGGCCUAACACAUGCAAGUCGAGCGAGCGGCGGACGGGUGAGUAAUUUCUGGGAAACUGCCCGAUGGAGGGGGAUAACUACUGGAAACGGUAGCUAAUACCGCAUACCAUCGGAUCUGCCCAGAUGGGAUUCGCUAGUAGGUGGGGUAAAGGCUCACCUCGGCGACGAUGCCUAGCUGGUCUGACAGGAUGACCAGCCACACUGGAACUGAUACAAGGUCCAGACUACUACGGGAUGCAGCAGUGGGGAAUAUUGCACAAUGGGCGCAAGCCUGAUGCAGCCAUGCCGCGUGUAUGAAGAAGGCCUGCUGGUUGUAAAGUACUUUCAGCGGGGAGGCGUUACCCGAAGAAGAAGCACCGGCUAACUCCGUGCCAGCAGCCGCGGUAAUUC
rnacentral:rRNA from 1 species